GGAGUAUGGACCGUGUCUCAGUUCCAUUGUGACCGUUCAUCCUCUCAGACCGGCUACCGAUCGUCGCCUUGGUAGGCUCUUACCCCACCAACUAGCUAAUCGGACGCAGGCUCCUCGCAAAGCGAUAAAUCUUUAAUGCAAUCGUCAUGCGACGACUGCACAACAUUCGGUAUUAGCGUCCCUUUCGGAACGUUGUCCCCAACUUUGCGGCAGAUUACCUGCGCUUUACUCACCCGUUCGCCACUAGCACCGAAGUGCCCGUUCGACUUGCAUGUGUUAAGCACGCCGCCAGCGUUCGUCCUGAGCCACUGAUCAAACUACU
rnacentral:rRNA from 1 species